rnacentral:ncRNA from 1 species
UGGCUCUGGAGAAUGUCCCGCAAGGGGCUGCCGAAGGUGCAACGCGCGCGGCGGGAACGGACGCGCGCCAAUCUCUCAGGCAAAAGGACAGAGUUUGAA